AGUCCACUCAAGCACACCUGCUUGGUAUUGGGAGACUACUUCACUGUAGCUCCUCAAAGACAACGGCGGAGUCGUGUCAUCCUCUGAGCUUAGUAAUUAUUUCUAGCUUGCGAGCGAGGCGCGUCCCCUGCCGUAAAACCCCCAUCUUUUUAAU
rnacentral:misc_RNA from 1 species